UCACCACAACCAUUACUCUUUGAAGCUAAUACUAGUUCCUUGAUUUAUCUUCAAAGCUGUUUCCUUGUGUCUGGUGUUCUGCGAUGUCAUUAUGUUGUGUCUAAAUGCAGAUUUCUUUUAGUUCGCUUGGCAUUCAUUGGGCUUCUUGAAUAUGGGCUGAUGGUUUCUCAUCAGUCCUCACCCAUUAUCUCGUCAAACACCGCCUCUCCACAGUCUCUCCACUCCCACAGAAGCUCCAGUCACCUGCUCUUCAGGCUUUUCCCUGUGCCCUCCAUCACUGCUUUCAGACGGCUUCUUCUGCCCACCUCCUAAUUCAUUGAUGGGAUUUUUCUCUUCAGCCAGUCCUAAUUUACUUUUAAACUUUUCAAUUUUCUUUUUUUUUUUUCAUGUUUUUUCUAUUUUGAGAUGAUUGCUCAUUAUAUGGCCUGUCUCUGCCCACAGUGCUGGGAUUAAAUAUGUGUAUCUUCUA
rnacentral:lncRNA from 1 species